rnacentral:rRNA from 1 species
AGAGUUUGAUCAUGGCUCAGAUUGAACGCUGGCGGAAUGCUUUACACAUGCAAGUCGAACGGCAGCAUAGGUGCUUGCACCUGAUGGCGAGUGGCGAACGGGUGAGUAAUACAUCGGAACGUGCCCAGUCGUGGGGGAUAACGUAGCGAAAGUUACGCUAAUACCGCAUACGAUCUACGGAUGAAAGCGGGGGACCGUAAGGCCUCGCGCGAUUGGAGCGGCCGAUGUUAGAUUAGGUAGUUGGUGGGGUAAAGGCUCACCAAGCCGACGAUCUAUAGCUGGUCUGAGAGGAUGAUCAGCCACACUGGGACUGAGACACGGCCCAGACUCCUACGGGAGGCAGCAGUGGGGAAUUUUGGACAAUGGGCGCAAGCCUGAUCCAGCCAUUCCGCGUGCAGGACGAAGGCCUUCGGGUUGUAAACUGCUUUUGUACAGAACGAAAAGCUCUGGGUUAAUACCUCGGGGUCAUGACGGUACUGUAAGAAUAAGCACCGGCUAACUACGUACCAGCAGCCGCGGUAAU